GGAAGCACAGAAUGAAGAGAAAAAGCAUGAGAUAGUCUUCUAUGUGCAGUGAGAUCCUAUAGGAGAGCACUGAGGGGGUCUUCUCAGAAGAGUAGGAGUACCAGUGACAGAAAAGACAUAGAGGCAUUUGGAGGAUGCCUAACAGAUACUUCUGUGACAUCAAGCCCCCCACUCCCUCAGUUGUGAGCAUCCAGACUUGGAAGUGUAGGGCACACAGCCAAUAUGUGAGUGUAUCUGGAUGCUGGUAAAUUGGAAACCUAAUUGUAGAACUGGAAAAUCGGGGAAAUUGCACAUAAGUGAAAUGUACUCUCUCAGAUUAGUAAUAAACUGUUACUCUUUAAUUUAUGUUCUUUUGAUUUCAGUUCUCAGGAGUGCUUGCUAAAACUGACAAAGUGGUUUUAAAUACAAAGUGGCUUUAAUUUGUCACAAUUAUUUAAAAACUUACAGUAUUAAUAGUAAGCAUACUUUCCUACUAGGACUUUACAGUUUUUACAAAACUCUCCUUUUUUAAUAAAAGUUAAUUAUGUUGCUUUAUAUUUUCAGUAUGUUGUUUAUUUUCUGAUAUUUUAUAAAUACGUCUAUGAGGGAAAAAAUCAGUACUUCAGUGCACAGACUACUUUCAUAUCUUGGUGUACAAGCUAUUAUUAAAAAAACAGGAAAUAGGGAAGUGUUGACUUUUUAACAUAAGUGGUUCUAUAUGAAAGUAGACCAAGAUAUACACUUUUCCGUCUUCAAGAAGUGGCUUAGCACUUUAAUGCCUCAGUAAGCAAGCAAACAACAUUUACCAGAUGUCAAGUAUGUCCAGGAACAAAAAUAAAAGAAUACUCGAAGAAGAGGCUUUAGGCUUUCAGGACACACAAAUACUUACAACAGAGUACGGGGUGAGAGAUGGCUCCUGGAGACAGGCUCCAAAUACAAGGUGAUUGGAGAAGGCAGUUCCCUGGAGCACUGCAUGGAGAUUUGGGGGGGUGAAGGAGGAGCUGGUUAUGGAACAGGUGAUUAAAGCAGGACCGGUUCUGGCAGGCCAGGAACUGAUGACCCAGUGCUCUGUUACAGUGGUGAAAACAUGUGUGCUCAAUACACUUCUUGAACACAGUACAGGAAGAGUGAAGGAACAGAUGAAGAUGAAUAUAAAUCUUGGGGUUUUCCCUGAGGCGCAAGAGCAGAACAAGCAAGGUUGCAUGCACUUACUCUGUGGAGAUAAGAUAAUAAACUGCCUCUGUCCUGAUGGAGACGAUGGAAUAUGACCAUCUGGGAAAGGAUUGUUUUCAGUAGCUGGACUUACUAUCUCAAAUGUAGAAGAUGGACAGAUGAUCCUCUGUGUAUUAGUUACUUUCUCAAAAAAAUGAGCCGAUUUAGGGUGGACUAGAAAAGUUUCUUUUCACAGUUCUGCAGUGUUUCUGUUCCCGUCACUUUUCAUUAAUAGCUUUAGAAACAAAAGACUCAAUUCACAGGCCAGGAGAAGGAAUAACCCCAGCCCUUUCUAGUACUCAGGUGGCUGGAACAUUCACUGAGGAUGUGGGAAAACCAGUUCACAUCCCUGCUCUGCCAGAGAGUAUCUGAACCCACAUCUUCACUAUGAGAUUAUACAAAGUGGACGUGCUCUUCCUUCCUGAGGGAAGAGUGACAGCAGCCUGUAUUUUCAGCCUUUCUCCCCAGGGAAACUGUGGAAGAAAAGUUACAAAAAUUUUCUGAGCUACGCAAAUCAGCAGUACUCUGCUUCCAUCCCUAUUUCAGUGGUACUUUGGACAAUCAAAUCUUUUCAUGCUCUUCAUCCUUUCUAUCUUACAGAUGCUGGUUGUUUAGAAAAGGAACCAAAAAAGUGAGACAGCAUCAAAGAGAAGAAACCUUUCUAGGCAGCACUCUCUCCAGUGUGAUGACAUCAUCAGAAGAGUUUCUAAUGCAAUGUAAUCUGCAAAAAUAUUACCAAAAGCAUGUAAUGAUUUUAAUGGAAUACUGAAACACUGGUAAUAUAAGUCUUUGUUAGAUGCAGAACUGGUUUUGCUACAUGUAUCUAAAGGGAAGGCAAGCAGGCAACAAUAGCAUAUUUGGUUUGAAUUUAAGAUUCUUCAUUCAUUGUGGAGUCAUAUAAGCCAGAAAAAUAAUAUAAUUUGAUUUUAAAAGUCGGAGUCACAGCCCUGAAUUUGCACUGAUGCAGUUAUGAAGAGCUGGUCCAUUAUUACAUUUCUUCAGACUAUACACACUUUAGUAAUUUAGUAAUUAAAAUUACAUAGUAAUUAAAAUCACUACCCCAUAACAAUAUUUUUAUAACUACAGAUCGUGGAUUCCAUACGUGGAGGUUGACACCUCUAAAAGAUUUCCACAACUCCCAUCACUUUGUUGCUUAACACAAUUUCAUUCUGACUAAAAGCAGCGGAUGGCAGUGCCUGUGCUGAAGCCCGGCCUUGCAGCCACACAGAGAAACACAGAGGUGAAACGGCUGCUGUAAACCCAUUUGUCCAAAAUGGAAGGUGGCAUCCAUGCUGAGGAAGGAGAAAAUACAUUGAGGAAUAGCUGCCAUCUGCCUCAUGGCAAGGUUUGAACUGCUGCCGUCAGGAAAGCUGGCAGUGCUGCAAUCAAGAAUGGCUUAUUUAUCCAGGAAUUAUGGGGUGAUGUGGAAGUAUACAUCCAGCAAACCACAGGGAAGACACAUAUGUGCAGACACACACAAAGUUAGGGUAGCCACCACAAAGCACAAACCUUUGGAGCUUGAGACCUUCUGUGCUUUCUCCCCAGGCAGCCUCAAAACUUUUCUGAGCACAACAGUAAUCUCAGUGACAUCCUAACAGGAGGAGGAAGAAGCGCCUCCAAGCCACAUGGCAACCUGCACCUUCAUCUGGCUUUGGCAGAAUCCCAGCAGUAUCAUCUGAAUGGUUCCAUAAUUACAACCACAACACAUUUUUCAGCCCCUACAGGCAGCUUGCUUUUCUGCAGUGGUCACAAAAGAAACAACAUCAUUUUGGAAGCCAUAAUGACAACAUACUGCAAAAUGGGGAAAAUUGUAACAUAGGAGGUAAGAAGUUUGUAAGAACCAGAGGCAAAGCUUCUUCUUGCAGGAAUGUGAAAGGUGGGUUUUGUUGAAUGACUCCUUUAAAUGCAGGUGAAAUGGCUGUCAGCUCCCAGGUCACACGCUCAACACAAACGUAAUUUUAUGUUAUAAAGUUAUAAUACCGGCCUCUUUUGGAGCCAGACUUAAUCGGCAAAAUGCAGCAUGAGGCUUAUCACACAACCUGACAGAUACUUGAAGCAUUGCUGUCUUGCAUGUUCAGAAUGGUCUCCUGGAGGCUUUUCUACAUAAAUAGAACCAACCUGACCAAAAAUGUAUUUUAAAAAUAAGUUUGAAGCCUGCCUUUUCAUGAAGUUGGUUUUUUUAAUAAACGAUACUCAAACCUGUGUGAAAAGGUAGAAAGUAUUGAAAGUUUGAAAGUAUUUUAGGUUGUACUUCCCUUUGGUAAGGCUACCUCAAUUUUUUUACCAUUCAGGAUGAAGUCUAAGCACGCAUAGGUAUAUAGAAAGUUCUGACUGUCUUUACAGUUAUUAGAGAGUUGUCUGUGUGUAUAGUUAUUUUUACACAAUUUGCUAUUUCAAAAGAAGUUGCCUGUAAAUCCAAUUAGGUGGGGCAAACAGAAUUCUGUUGGUCUGUGGUGACUCAUUUAUGAGAGAAACAGCUCAAAUUAGAUUGUGUGAAAGACAUUGUUUUUUGGUAUGGACACUGGUUAUAUUUAAAUGAUGUUUGACAAGGACUUCUGCUAUCACUUGGAAUCUCCCCUGUUGCCAGAUUCAGCACAAUGCAUCCUAUGAAUCCUUGUUGACAAUUCUUUCUAGGCUACCUACAGAUCUCAUUUAUUCUGUGGCCUUGAUAUUGCUUAGGAUGCCUAGGAUUACUUAGAAUGAGGAUGCAUUCUUGGUUGUGUUUUAUGCCUGAUGGUUUUCCUUGGUUUUAGUCUGUAAUUUUGGCAGCCCAGAAGCUGCUUCAUCAACUAGCCUCAUAAUGGAGGCAGAAACAUCUGAACUAGGGGCACACAUCCAGCUGUGAACAGCAUCUUCUGUAGCCACACCAGUGUAACCUGCUGGAACCAGAGCACUAAGAGAAACAAGAUAAAUGGCUAUUGUACUUUAAAUUCACACCUGGGUUGCUUGUUCUGUGACAGCUUCUUCAUGCAGAUGACAGGAAUGGACCCUGGCCAGUUUUCAUUUGCUGAAGGAACGUUUUGCUCCUGGGGACUUGAAUGGGUCUGCCUCCAUUAGCAGUUAAGAGCACAACAUAAAUGUUUCUGUGAUGUGAAUUGCUCUUGCCUGUGAAUCUUUUACAUUUGAUGUUCUUUAAGUUACAUCACUAAAAGCCUUUGGAAGACAGGACCUAGAUUUCGUCCUGUAGAAGCUUAGCUGGAAAUUGCACACUAGGGGUUUUUCUAACACACCCCAAAGGUAAUGGGAACAUGUAAUCUUUGGGCUGUUGAGAAAGAAUACAGAGGCUGAUCUGUUAUUUGAAUUGUACUCCAGUAUCAAUUCUUCCUUUAUCCUGAGUGAGAGCAAUACCAACACAAAGGUGAACUUGGAAAGCUCUUCAUGGCUGAGACUUCUGUAGAAGUGCUAGGAUGUCCUUUUUUUAUCUGAGCAACAUGAUGAGACUUUUAAAACUGUAAAGAGAGGGACUUUCCAAAAUGCCUAUGUUGUUGGUAUGGUGUAAGAGCCUUCCAAAAGAGUUAGCUAAUCCUCAGUGAGUCACGUUUUUAAUGGAAUUCUGUUUUAAAUAAAUUAUCUUCUACACUUUCUCCACUCUGGGGUAUAUGCUGAGUGACUAUAAUACUUGAUGUUCUGGUAUUUCAAGUUACCAGGUCAUCUGUGAAUGUUUCUGAGACUCCUCUUCCUAUAGAACCUAGCACCUAAAUGAAGGUAACAAGCAAAUGGCUAUAGUCUGAAGUCUUCUUUUGCUGAUGGAGAUUGCUGAAUUCACAUGUGCUUGCUGAGUAUCAGAGAUUACUGUUGCAAAAAAAAUCAGAUCAUUAAUUGUAUCUGGUUCAGACUUUGAAGGAUUUCUUAACAAACAGCAAGACUAUAUUUUAAAUUAUAUAUUCUCAAAGAAAAUAAGAUGUUGAUGCAAAUGCAUCCUCUCACAAGCCACAGGUAAAUUGGCCUGUAGCAUCUCAAGCUAGUGCUCAUCAGAAUAUCACUUUCAAGAAAGGACAUUUCUCUAAGAGUAACUGGAGGGAAAUUGAGUCCAGUUCCAUUACCUUUUGUAACUGAAGAGAACUGAAUCAUCUGUUUCUUGUCAAGCCACCCACUUUGUGUAGUCACUUGUGAACAGUUUGUAUGCUAAGAGAAAAAAUGGCACUUUGCAUUAUAUAGGUUGUUAAAUCUACUAUGUCAGAGGUUUGUUUAAGUCCUCUUGCCACCCGGUUUCAAUGUGGAGAUGAAAAAAGACUUAUCUUCCAGCCAUUUUGGCACAGGAUAGCCUCUGCUAGAGUGCCACAGAGAUCCUGUAAUUCACAGGAUACCUUCCAAAAUUAAUCAAGGGACCUAACCUGCACUGCAAGUUUUGAGCCAUCCAUCUUUGAAUAGUUGAGAAAGAAGUUACUGCCUGCCGACAAAACCUUAGGGCAGAGCGAGGUAAUAAAGCACUGGUCUGUAAGUCAGGUUUUGAUCUUGAUACUGUGUGGUUCCUGGCUCACAAUUCAGUAUUUUAAUUGCAAAAUAAUACUUUGUGAUUGAUGAGUGCAUAUGUGGCAACUUUAACCAAGUAUUGAUUAUUUUGAAAAAAUGCACAUGAUUUGUUGUACGUGAUGGGGGGUGACCCUAAUGAAUCACAGAAGAAAAACAUAAAUUGAAACUUAGAUUGGAUGUUUGUCUUUCUAGAUUUCACAAGAUUGAUUUUAAGUCUAGAAGCUAAGUGAAGAUAAUGAAGAUAUGAGACUGUACUUUCACAAAGGUUGUUUGACUUAUACUAGUGAACCUGAACUGUAGUAUUUGCAGAUUUCCUGUAAGUAAAAAGUGUAAAUUUUUACCAAGUAAAAGAACCAAGUACCAGUAAAUGGGAAGUGACUGAGUAAAUACAGCAUUUAGAGACUGAAAACAUAACAGAUGAAUAAAAUAUUUUUUUCUAAAGCUCUCAAUGUGUUUAAAACGACAAGUGAUAAUAUAAGGGUAGUCUGUGAUCAGAAAAAUAAUUUUAAAGUGAUAUUUAAUAUGGUCUAAAAAUUGAAGUAAUAGAAACCAAGAGGAGGAAAGGGCACAUACCAGGAACACAUUUUAAUCCAAUCAGCCAGUUAGGUAAUCAAUUAGACAACACAACAAGAGCAAGCAGAUCAAUGGUUCUGUCUUCAAAUGAAAACAAAUGUGCUUACUUACCAACAUUUGCAUCUUUAAGAUAAGCAUAACCUCCUUUCAUGCCAGCUAAAAUUGUUGAUGUUGCCUCUUUUUUCACUAAAUAAUUACUUUUACAUUCACUUGUGUUGCCCUUACGUGACCUUG